CGCUCGCGGCGAAAUGCGCCUCGCAGUCCCAGGAACUCGUGAUAAANCRGCUGUGCCCGUGCGCUGCCCUCGAGCUYUCCGAACAAAAGUGGUGGCUAGCAGCGCCGAAGCCAGCGGCUACUGAGUAAAAAGCCGGUUGGCGUUCGCUUCUCGCGUGCCCUCCGGUAAAAGGCGGGUGUGGUGGUACCGGGGCUCCCCUACCCCMCCCCGUUGCUACGCACUGUGGGUCCGUYUGCACGGGAGCUGGAUUGCCGAACCCCGCGUUGAACGCAAGUUUYUGAGCUACCAAGUGCCCUAAGACGUUAAGUGUGGUUCAUAGCGUAAAGCRAUGCAAGAAGUAGCUACNCUCUCGGCUCUAUAGGCAACGGCUCUCAGCAAUAUYUAUUACACUUUYUUCCGCGGCGUAGGGCGCCCGUGKGGCACAGGCCCCGGCSCCCUCGCACGAGAGAGCAAUCUAAAGGAACCGCGUAAGGCGCGGCCCCCAAGCAAUAAGGCGGCUACCCCUCUCCCUUYUCAGGGCGUGGGGUGCSGCCCUCCCCUCUCCACUCGGGCAGCCCGUGUGGGGUGGUGGCUAAAACAUUGAUCAAGCGCCCAGCAAGACGAUCCGUCCAAAGCUGUUACUAGGAAGGCGUCCAAGUGGAUGCCUUUGGAAC
rnacentral:misc_RNA from 1 species